CAGGGCUGACGUGUGUGUGGA
rnacentral:misc_RNA from 1 species